GCAUUGUUGGAAAGACCGGAUACCCCUUGACAGGGGUUUAAAAGGGAAUCACGUGCGAAUCGUGAGCUGACGCGCAACUGUUAGCCCUUAUGAUGUUUGACGGCAAGGAGCCACUGCUUCGGGGGAGGAAGCGGGAAGGCGCCGUGAAACGGGCGAGCCAGGAGACCUGUCUUGUCUUUCAUACAGAG
rnacentral:ncRNA from 2 species